rnacentral:lncRNA from 1 species
AAGUCAACUCAUAUAUCAGUAACACACACUAAAGAAUUCCUCAUAUAUCAGUAACACACACUAAAGAAUUCAAGUCUCAUUAGCAAACCUUAUACAUAAUUUUGAAAAGGGAUUAAUUUAAUUAUUGUAACUUUAGGGUCGUUUCUUUGGGAUUAUUCAUUGGAUUAACCACCUUGAAUCACUUUAUUAUCAAUUCUUUUAUUAUUAUUAUUAUUAUUAUUAUUAUUAUUAUUAUUAUUAUUAUUAUCAACAUCAUCAUCAUCAUCAUCAUCAUCAUCAUGAUGUCGCUCGUGGAAUUCGAUCCAAUCACAUCUCAUAGCAAUACCAAAAUUUAACGUUGGCACAUUACUUGAGAAAUUAAUAAAGAAGAAAAAAUUUAAUGUACACCACAUUGCUACUAACAAUAUUUUCAUAAGUAACAAUUAUGUUCUUCUAAACCUCGCAAUUAGGAGACUAUUAGCUCAUUAUCAGCUUAUUAAAUGACACGAUCAUUCAAAAUCAAUACUAAUCUGUACACACAUGCUAAGGAACUUAUUUUUGUCUAACUAGUCAUGACCUGUAGGAGACAAUCUAAGUCUAUGUACCGCACUGACGUAGUAUCCAAUCCUCUAUAAAUAAGUAAUAUCAAUAUUCAUAUUCGUACCGGCGUGGUACCUAAUUCUCCAUAAAUAAGUAAUAUCAAUAUUCAUAUUCGUACCGGCGUGGUACCUAAUUCUCCAUAAAUAAGUAAUAUCAAUAUUCAUAUUCGUACCGGCGUGGUACCCAAUCCUCCAUAAAUAAGUAAUAUCAAUAUUCAUAGUCGUACCACCGUGCUACCCGAUCAUCCAUAAAUAAACAAUAUCAAUAUUUAUAUUUGUACCGGUGUGGUACCCGAUCCUCCAUAACCAUAUUAUAUACAUUUUAUCAAAUUCACAUUCUCUCUCAAGAUACAAUACAACAUACUAAAUUUACAAGUGCACUUAAAAUCAUAAUGCAAUUCGAUCAAAUUCGAUUUUCAAUAGUUAUUCAUACAACUGUCAACAAUUGAUCUUGAUCAUCCAAUACAACAUACUAAAUUUACAAGUGCACUUAAAAUCAUAAUACAAUUCGAUCAAAUUCGAUUUUCAAUAAUUAUUCAUACAACUGUCAACAAUUCAUCUUGAUCAUCCACAUAUAAUUCAUGACAUUAAUUCAAGGAGCUAUCAUUAUCAAACAAAUCUUUCAUAGGCACAAUUCAAUAAAUCAUCAUAAUCAUCAAUUUAGUAUCUCAUGAACAUUCAAUAGAUAAAGUAAGUUUACCAAUAUCAAAGUAAGAAUGUUAGAAUCACAAUUUAAAACUUAAGAAUACAAGUCAUCAUUGGAGCCUUCAUUACUCAUUAAUUAUCAAAAUAUCACUACCGCCUCAAAUACCGAAACUUGGAUUCUAACAUCACCACCUGUAACUAGCACAUUCAAGCAUAUUAUUAUCUCUACCUCUUUUCACAUAAUAUGAUUUUCACAACAAUUCAAGAUAUCUAUCCCUUAGAUAUUACCAUGCUCAUCAAUAAUCUGUGCUAACAUAAUUCUCCUCAUCACAUUAUUACAUAAUACAUACAACUUAAUAUCAUUAUAAAUCAAUUAGGUUCAUCACUGGAACAACUGAGAAACAUCAUGUCCACAUACUUUAUUUACAACAAUCUAAUUUCGGGCACAUAACACAAUAACAUAAAUAUCACGUAAUCAAUCAAUAACAUAAUUUUUGAAAUUAAAGUAAAGUUUUUAUGUCUUUAUCCACCUCAACUCUAUGCCCACAGGUCCAUACAUGCUUUCUCCCAUCUAUUAUAAAUUAUGAAAAUAUGAGAUAACAAAGUAUUUUAUUCAAUAACCUAACCUACCUGGAUGCCAAACUUUUGAAAGAAGCACGCUGCAGCAAGAAUUGUAUUUUCUUUACUUUAUGCCUUGGAAUAAUCAAUUGUUUCAUGAAGGACUUUCUCCUUUAAUUUUGGGAAAUCACCUCUCUAGAAUUGAGGAAUGAAGUUUGGGGUUCUUAGAUCUAAAAAAUGGCUGAAACUGAUUAAAAUAUUCCCGUUUCAGCCCGAAUAGUUCUCAUGAAACAGUCAUAACUUUUUACAUCAAAUUCCAAUUGACAAACGGUUUAUUUUUCUCGAAAGAGGACUCAAAGAUCUUUGAUCUAUAGGGUAUUGGGCCUCCUAACUCCUUAUAUUGUAGAAGAUAUGAUCGUUUGAAGUUGGUUCUAAUAGAAACUCUAGUGGAAAGAAAGUCUUAAACUUAGCUUUGUGUUAGGAAUAUUGUAUGACCUUAAUUCAUACCUAAAUAACUUUCAAACUAAAGGAUUGAUAUUUGUAUUCAUGAAUAUUUAAAUUCAUCGGGCUUGAGUCUAUCUAGACACAUUGAAAUAAUUAAAUCUUAGCUAAAAAGCUUGAGGUGACAUAAUAAAUCAAAUGAUGACUAUUUUGGACUCAAGUUACUAUUGAGGAAUGAAAACUAAGAUUUUUCAUGAAUUUAACAUGUAUAAUUUAGUAACGAAGAAAUGAUUUGUUAUUUUUUUCGUCUAUUUCAAUUUAAGUGACAGUAAUAUAUACACAUUCAGCCAUCAAAAGGGACUCAUAGUAAAGGGAAAAGGUCACGGGAUAUCUAUGCAGCUAAUACACCUAAGUGUGAGUCUGCAGUUCAAGCAUUUGCAGGUCCAAGCAUCCCAAAAUCUCUCUCCCAGCCAUACCUGCAUAUCAAUGAGAAAGUCAAUGAAGAAAAAGCAAAGGAAGAAGGAGCAGAAGAUAACAAACAACUUACCUGGCCAUGCAAACUGACUCAGGGAUCUAGACCCUUCGAUUCAGCACCAAAAAGCAAGCAACUUCCCAUUCACUAGAGAACUCAGCUGAUUUCAAUCAAACAAGGAAGAAAUCAGUAUAAAAAAAGGAGAAAUAUAGUUUCGCAGGAGCUUAAGCAAUCAACAAGAUCGAAUGAAAGUACUUCUGAGAGCUGUAAAACAAAGAAAAGGAGUAAAUCCAAGGCAAAGUGUUGAUAACCCAAAGCAACAGCAGCAAAAAUUGAAGAUUCAAGCAUGGAGUCGACAUCAUUUUUCACCUGAGACUGAGCUUAAACAAUGGAAAUAGAAGCCUUUUGAUUUAGGAAACCCUAAGCACAAAUAUAUAUGUCUGAAGGGUUCGAGUUUGGGCUAAUUGGUUGGACCUGAAAUAAGCCCAAUUUUCUUUCUUUAUUUUUUCGGUUGGUUUGGCCCAUCCAAUGUAGAAAC